rnacentral:rRNA from 1 species
UGGCGGACGGGUGAGUAACGCGUGGGGAACCUGCCCUGUACCGGGGGAUAGCAGCCGGAAACGGCUGAUAAUACCGCAUAAGCGCACGAAUGUCGCAUGACAUGGUGUGAAAAACUCCGGUGGUAUAGGAUGGACCCGCGUAUGAUUAGCCGGUUGGUGGGGUAAAAGCCUACCAAAGCGAAGAUCAGUAGCCGAGUUGAGAGACUGACCGGCCACAUUGGGACUGAGACACGGCCCAGACUCCUACGGGAGGCAGCAGCC